CAACUGGCCGGACUCGGCUCCCAGGGACUCCGAAAACAGUCCGCGGAUGCGCAGGGCCCCGGAGUCCGUAUUUUCAUUGCGCUCCGCAAGGGACUCGCCCCGUUUGGGGACCCCUGCAGCGAUGUCUAAAAUGCACGCGUGGGAAGGACACCUGCGCCCCUCUAGUCAAGGCCCGGAGGGUCGCCUGUGGCCCCUUCUUGUAUGCAGCGUUUCCGGGUGUGUGUCGGCAGCUCCGAGGGUCCAGACAGGGCCCCGGCCCCAGCCAGGGAGGAGUCAGGGGCGAUGGUGUUUUCGGGUCUCCUGGAAGACCCGGGCCCGCUGGGCCUUAAAUUCAGAUGGAAAGCAAACUAAAUGUUUAGCCUCUAAUGUUGACGCAUUUCUAACACUGAUGCCUGAGUAGCUGCAUCAACAGGUAAAGACAAGAAGAUAGCACUAGGUGAGCACUGAACAGCUCAGGAGUCCAGGACCUCAACACUUAAACAAGCUUGAUCCCAUCUGGAUACAUUUCGCAUGUUAUCGAAGAGCAAGAAACAUGGAAACAAACAACAAUGCUAGGAUGGAGGACAUAAACACUUCACCAGGUACCCCAUCAUGCUCUCCAGUCACAGCCUCCCCUUCCUGCUCUCCCCAUGCUGUUUCCCUGUCCCCUACCUCAGUAUUUAUGCUUCGUAUGCUUUUCUUAGACUCACCGUUAUUG
rnacentral:lncRNA from 1 species